rnacentral:rRNA from 1 species
UACAGAGGUCUCAAGCGUUGUUCGGAUUCAUUGGGCGUAAAGGGUGCGUAGGUGGCGAGGUAAGUCAGGUGUGAAAUCUCGGAGCUCAACUCCGAAACUGCACUUGAUACUGCCCUGCUCGAGUACUGGAGAGGAGAUUGGAAUUUACGGUGUAGCAGUGAAAUGCGUAGAUAUCGUAAGGAAGACCAGUGGCGAAGGCGAAUCUCUGGACAGUUACUGACACUGGAGGCACGAAGGCCCAGGGGAGCAAAGCGGG